rnacentral:lncRNA from 1 species
CCAGCCUCAACAUAAAACUGCAUCCUAGUCAAGGCCUUAUCAUCAUACACAUCAAAGUGAGAUAACUUUGUGAAUGCCUCAUUUUCUACUGAAACUCCAGCCACCUCAAAUAGUCUAGUUAGUGCCAUUCCAUAAGGUAAGCAUACUUUGUUCUUUGCUGAUGCCUCUUUCAUCUGGUGCACCAUGAUACCCAGGUAUCCCCUGAACAAUAUGAUACAUAACUGCCAGCUCCUUCUCGGAAACAAAAUCAUGUCUCCCUAGUUUUGGAAUGAAGAUCCCUCCAAUAAUAUGAUGUAAAAUCCUCAUUUCAACUAAGAGGGUGCUG